CAGUCGCCGCGGGAAUACGAAGGGGGCUAGCGUUGUUCGGAAUUACUGGGCGUAAAGCGCACGUAGGCGGAUAUUUAAGUCAGGGGUGAAAUCCCAGAGCUCAACUCUGGAACUGCCUUUGAUACUGGGUAUCUUGAGUAUGGAAGAGGUAAGCGGAAUUCCGAGUGUAGAGGUGAAAUUCGUAGAUAUUCGCAGGAACACCAGUGGCGAAGGCGGCUUACUGGUCCAUUACUGACGCUGAGGUGCGAAAGCGUGGGGAGCAAACAGGAUUAGAUACCCCCGUAGUCCCUGUCUCUUAUAC
rnacentral:rRNA from 1 species